GACGAACGCUGGCGGCGUGCUUAACACAUGCAAGUCGAACGGAGUGGCGAACGGGUGAGUAACACGUUGGUGACCUGCCCUGCACUUCGGGAUAAGCCUGGGAAACUGGGUCUAAUACCGGAUAGUGUGGGAUGGGCCCGCGGCCUAUCAGCUUGUUGGUGGGGUAAUGGCCUACCAGGGCGGCGACGGGUAGCCGGCCUGAGAGGGUGGACGGGCACAAUGGGACUGAGACACGGCCCAGAAGGCGACGGGAGGCAGCAGUGGGGAAGAUUGCACAAUGGGGGGAAGACUGAGGCAGCGGCGCCGCGUGGGGGAUGACGGCCUUCGGGUUGUAAACUCCUUUCACCAUCGACGCGGUAGAUGGAGAAGAAGCACUGGCUAACUACGUGCCAGCAGCCGCGGUAAUUC
rnacentral:rRNA from 1 species